rnacentral:rRNA from 1 species
AAAUUGAAGAGUUUGAUCAUGGCUCAGAUUGAACGCUGGCGGCAGGCCUAACACAUGCAAGUCGAGCGGUAGCACAGAGAGCUUGCUCUCGGGUGACGAGCGGCGGACGGGUGAGUAAUGUCUGGGAAACUGCCUGAUGGAGGGGGAUAACUACUGGAAACGGUAGCUAAUACCGCAUAAUGUCGCAAGACCAAAGUGGGGGACCUUCGGGCCUCAUGCCAUCAGAUGUGCCCAGGUGGGAUUAGCUAGUAGGUGGGGUAACGGCUCACCUAGGCGACGAUCCCUAGCUGGUCUGAGAGGAUGACCAGCCACACUGGAACUGAGACACGGUCCAGACUCCUACGGGAGGCAGCAGUGGGGAAUAUUGCACAAUGGGCGCAAGCCUGAUGCAGCCAUGCCGCGUGUGUGAAGAAGGCCUUCGGGUUGUAAAGCACUUUCAGCGGGGAGGAAGGCGGUGAG